rnacentral:rRNA from 1 species
AUUGAACGCUGGCGGCAGGCCUAACACAUGCAAGUCGAGCGGAGCGGCGGACGGGUGAGUAAUGCCUAGGAAUCUGCCUGGUAGUGGGGGAUAACGUCCGGAAACGGGCGCUAAUACCGCAUACUAUCAGAUGAGCCUAGGUCGGAUUAGCUAGUUGGUGGGGUAAAGGCCUACACAGGCGACGAUCCUUAACUGGUCUGAGAGGAUGAUCAGUCACACUGGAACUGAGACACGGUCCAGACGCCUACGGGUGGCAGCCGUGGGGAAUAUUGGACAAGUGGCUAAAGCCUGCUCCAGCCAUGCCGCGUGUGUGAAGAAGUUCUUCGGAUUUUAAAGCACUUUAAGUUGGGAGGCGUUACCCGCAGAAGAAGCACCGGCUAACUCCGUGCCAGCAGCCGCGGUAAUAC